rnacentral:tRNA from 1 species
AAGUUUUGGAUUUAUAAAAUCACCUUUAAAUUUGCAAUUUAAAAUCAUAAUUGAAUACAAAACU